GACAGAGGGUGCAAACGUUGUUCGGAAUUACUGGGCGUAAAGCGAGUGUAGGCGGUCUCGUAAGUCGGGUGUGAAAGCCCUGGGCUCAACCCAGGAAGUGCACUCGAAACUGCAGGGCUGGAGUCCGGGAGAGGAGGGUGGAAUUCCCAGUGUAGCGGUGAAAUGCGUAGAUAUUGGGAGGAACACCGGUGGCGAAGGCGGCCCUCUGGACCGGUACUGACGCUGAUGCGCGAAAGCGUGGGGAGCAAACGGG
rnacentral:rRNA from 1 species